ensembl:lncRNA
GGCUGAUGGAGCUUUUAAUUGGGGGCGGGAGGGGGGGGAGUGGGAGGGAAAGGAAAGGAAGGUCCUCUGGAAAUAUCUUCCGGGAUUAGAACGAGGAGCGCUGGACUCCCAUCUCGAUGCGGCCCUGUAGGAAAGCGCUGCGGGGACCGCGAAAAAGCUGCUCGGAAGGACCCACGGGGCUGAAAACGGGGAUUGGAAAAGAAAAAAAAAAAAAAGUAGAUGGUGUGUGUGACAAAAAAAGCUGGGUGAUUCUGUUUUCUCAUGCCCUCGCUCCUCCACCAGCUGCACAGCCAAGCGCAGGCUGCUUGGCCCUUAUAACUAUCUUGGCACGGAGUCAAAAGCUGAUAAGCAUUUGGGCGAGACAGCUCAACUGCUGUGCUGGAAGAAAAACAGCUGCCAUGAUUUCUGUUUGAUUGAGAGCGCUUACACACACGCACAAAAAACACAUCGGGCUGCAGAGACGGGCCACGAAUGCCUGAGGAUUCAGCUUCAGAAGAGCAAUGCACGUUUCCUUAAGGGAAAGAAAAAAAAAAAAAAAGUUUUAUGCAGUUUUGCCUCCGUUCCUCCUCCCCUUUUUAAGGAAAAUGUACUGCGUAGACUCGCUCCUCUCCUUCCCAUCCCCCUCCAUAACCUCAAGCAAACUCGAGGAAUUGUGCCAAAAGUCCCGUUGCUAGUUACUGAGUGCGUUUUUUUCAAACGUCCCUUUGAUACUUCUUCCCCUUGUGCUUGCCAUGGAAUAUGCAACUCUGUAAGAAUGUCACACAAGAGGCAGCGCUAUCCCAGCUGGAUAAUUCAUGAGCCGAAAGCAGAGAACGCCAUUUUGAGGCUGUCACACAUUUCUGUGUCCAAAGUGGAUAACGCCUGCGGAAAGCAUAAGAAUGAUAUUCUCAUGCUGCAGAAAAAGUGUUUUAAUCCUGCAGGUAACAAAAAAGCAACACCAGUACUGAAGAACACAUGGUGAAGUGGAUGGACCUCGUAUUUUCAUUACUAUAUGUACUAAUGUUAGCUAAUGAACAUAAGUGAAGAAUAUACACAUGCUAAACUGACAUUAUCAUCUUUAUUGGAUAGUGGAUAUAGUAAGCAUAGCUUUCCCCUCUAUCUUCUAUUAAAAUGUAAAGCAAGUAGUCUUGGCGAAUUUCAAGUAACGAAUAAAGGAAACAGGAGUGUCUAUUUCAGUAUUGCUGUAUUCAGUGUCCCUUGCUACUGACAUACUAACUUUGUGCCCUUCUUGCUUGGCUCAGCUUUAAAUGCAAGCUUUCAUUAAAAUGGAAUGACAUUGGAGUUGCUUGGCCACUUUUUAAAAUGUUAUUUUAUUAAUAUUUUAAUAAUAAAUAAUUAUUUUGCUAUAUUACAGAAUACAUUUUUAAAUCUACAAGUAGACAACUGGAAAUGUUUGUUUAAACAGCAAAUAAAAUAAGAGAAAGAUGUUAACUUUUUAAUUGAAAUGUCUGGAAUGCCAAGUAAACAAAUUAAAAUGAAGAGAAAGAGAGACAGAAACAGAAAAGACUGCUGUCUCACAGAAAAGACAAUUACAGUACCCUGUAUUGAGUAAAACCAUAUUUCAGCGUGUAAUCUGAAGCAGCCUAAAAGGAGCUGUAAGAAACAUGCAUGUGGACACUGCAGCAAACGGUAUUAGCAGUGCUGUUCCCUAAGCCAUAAGGAAAACCCACUCUGAAAUCUGUUAUACCAAAAUGGUAGUCCUUCAGGGAUUUAUUGUGGCAUAAAAAGUGGGAAAAAUAAAAAUCAGUAUGCCCUGAAAUGCCCAAGAGCUGACACCUACUGUAAUGCACAUUUUUACCUUGAUGCUGUGUUUACAUCCAUUUAUGUUCACAGUCUUAUGGAGCCCCAAAGCUUAGUACCAUAGUAUUACUUAUUUCUGUGAUGGCACUGUUGUGAGUUUCCCUGUUCACAUACAGGCCACCUGUGCUCACUGCUUACCCUGCUGGGUUUUACACUGCUUGCCUGUCAUCAGCAAUUAUGAGCUUUUUUUCUUUUUUUUUUUCAUUGGAUAGAAGGAAGGGUGGU